rnacentral:rRNA from 1 species
GGCUACAGCCAUUGUGUGUUGUUGAUACAUCCGAUCCCUUGAUCUUGGAAGUUAAACAAUGUGCAGUCAGGUCAGUACUCGGAUGGGAGACCACCAAGAAAGACUGAAUGCUGUAGUCG